rnacentral:tRNA from 1 species
AUUACUUUGGCAGAUUAGUGUUUUGAAUUUAGAAUUCAAAUAUGUAAAUUAUUUACAAGUAAUA